UACGGAGGGUGCAAGCGUUAUCCGGAUUCACUGGGUUUAAAGGGUGCGUAGGUGGGUUGGUAAGUCAGUGGUGAAAUCUCCGAGCUUAACUUGGAAACUGCCAUUGAUACUAUCAGUCUUGAAUAUUGUGGAGGUCAGCGGAAUAUGUCAUGUAGCGGUGAAAUGCUUAGAUAUGACAUAGAACACCAAUUGCGAAGGCAGCUGGCUACACGAAUAUUGACACUGAUGCACGAAAGCGUGGGGAUCAAACAGG
rnacentral:rRNA from 1 species